rnacentral:lncRNA from 10 species
GACGUUUCACCGUGUUAGCCAGGAUGUCUUGAUCUCCUGACCUUGUGAUCCACCAGCCUCGGCCUCCCAAAGUGCUGGGAUCACAGGCAUGAGCCACUGCACCCGGCUAGAGGUGAUUUGUUAUACAACAAAGGCUAACUGAAACAGACAUAUCUUGAGAUCAUUUGGCUACUUGGGCAAGGGCUCAGAGGUGAAAAUGUUAAGAGUUAUCA